rnacentral:rRNA from 1 species
AUGAUGGCGGCGGCGAUGCGAUGCGCGGUGAGGAGGCUCCUCGGCGGCCAGCGACCCCAGGCAGUUUACAAAGCCGUCGUCUCGCCGCUGGUCAAGCAGGAGCAUGGCCGGCUGAUGCCAAGGCUUAUCAACGGCGGCCGACCUGCCUGUUUUCCUCUCAGAUCCAUGUCCUCCGGCGGCGCAGGCUGCAAAGACUUUUCCGGCGCCGCCACCGCUGCCCACCCAGCAAACGGCAACGCCGCCCUGAUGCAACCCUGUGAAGAACCUGCGCCAGAGCUCGACCCAGAGAGAGCAUGGGCGUAUCGGCAGUACUGCGAGAUCGAGACCAAGAAGCAGGACCUCUUCUACCUGAUCGCUGAGUUGGAGAAGAGGCACCCAUAUCGUAGGUACACGGGAAAAAACAUGGAGCUCCUCUUCCAUCUCUUCGGACACGUUGAUCCUAAUCCCAGCGAUCCCCUCUGGUGCCGCGCUCGUUCAAGAGAAAGACUCAACAAUUGUCUGCUAUAUGGAAUGCCUACAGCGAUGGCCACUUGGAUGUACAUGAAUUGGGAGAGUUGGAGAAGUAUGUUUGCCUUUGCACUUGGAAUUGGUCACUAG